rnacentral:rRNA from 1 species
ACACGACUACAUUAGAUACCCCCGUAGUCCCAGCCGUAAACGAUGCGCGUUAGGUGUAUCGGUGACCACGAGUCACCGAGGUGCCGAAGGGAAACCGUGAAACGUGCCGCCUGGGAAGUACGGUCGCAAGGCUGAAACUUAAAGGAAUUGGCGGGGGAGCACCACAACGGGUGGAGCUUGCGGUUUAAUUGGAUUCAACGCCGGAAAUCUUACCGGGACCGACAGCAACAUGAAGGCCAGGCUGAAGACUUUGCCGGAUUAGCUG